UUGCAUCGAUGAAGAACGCAGCUAAUUGCGCGUCAACAUGUGAACUUGCAGGGACCAUGAACAUCGACAUUUUGAACGCACAUUACGGUCCUCGGAUACUGUUCCUGGACCACUCCUAUCUGAGGGUUGUAUCAUUUUCAAAGACUGCUCGGUUUCUUUAUCAUUAUCUGUUAACCUAUGUAACAGUAGAGAUAAUGGGAAGAGAAAUGUCGGAGCGUGUUGAGUGUUUAAACGUGUAUGCAGCAAGCCCAGCAACUUUCUGUUGAAGUUGUAUGAUGUUGUAAUACACGGCAUUCGAAAUAGUCAGGACUGUGAGAAAUUUAUUCAUUGUGACGAUAUUUUUAUAAUACCGUGUCAAAGAAGCAAAUUUUCUUAUUCAGAAUUUAUUUUAUAUAUAUAUGUAUAUAUUUUUAUAUGUAUUAUGUGUAUAUAAAUAAAAGUAUGAUGAAUUUAUUUAUGUUUUAAAUAAUGCAACCUCAGAUUAGGUGAGACUACCCGCUGAAUUUAAGCAUAUUACUAAGGCGGAGGAAAAAAAC
rnacentral:rRNA from 1 species